UUUGUUUGUUCUUUCUUUUUAACUUGUGAUCUAAAACUUAAUGGACAGGUGCAAAAAAAUAAAUCCUCUUCUGCAACCCAGAACUCAUUGUUUAGAAGAGUUGUGAUAUAUAUAAUAAGGAAUAUU